rnacentral:rRNA from 1 species
AACGUAGGACACAAGCGUUAUCCGGAGUUACUGGGCGUAAAGGGCGUGUAGGCGGACCUAUAAGUCUAUUCUGAAAGCUCCUGGCUAAACUGGGAGAGGCGAAUGGAGACUGUAGAUCUAGAGUGAGGAAGAGGAAAGUGGAAUUCCGCGUGUAGUGGUGAAAUGCGUAGAGAUGCGGAGGAACACCGGUGGCGAAGGCGGUCUGCUGGGGCAGUUGCUGGACACUUGAGGCGCGACAGCGUGGGGGAGCAAACAGGGAU